rnacentral:rRNA from 1 species
AAACGCUUGAAGUCAGUCGCGUCUUUCAGAGAUCAACCUGGCCUUUCCGCUUGGUGCAUUCUUUGGAGGACGGGUCAGCAUCAAUUUUGACCGGGGGAAAAAGUUGGUGGGAAUGUGGCACCUUUUUGGUGUGUUAUAGCCUGCUUCCAUAUACCUCGGUUGGGAUUGAGGAACUCAGCGCGCCGCAAGGCCGGACUUUUUUUGUCACGUACGCGCUUAGGAUGCUGGCAUAAUGUCUUCAAUCGA